GGACCCGCACAAGCGGUGGAGCAUGUGGUUUAAUUCGAUGCAACGCGAAAAACCUUACCUAUACUUGACAUACUUGGAAUGCUUUGUAAUGAAGCAGUGCCUUCGGGAGCCAGGAUACAGGUGCUGCAUGGCUGUCGUCAGCUCGUGUCGUGAGAUGUUCCGUUAAGUCGGAUAACGAGCGCAACCCUUACCCUUAUUUGCCAGCGAUUCGGUCGGGAACUAUAAGGGGACUGCCGGUGAUAAACCGGAGGAAGGUGAGGACGACGUCAAGUCAUCAUGGCCCUUACGUAUAGGGCUACACACGUGCUACAAUGGGGAAUACAGACGGACGCUAAGCCGCGAGGUGGUGCU
rnacentral:rRNA from 1 species